AUUGUGGUGGUCUGGAAGCAAACCUAGAGCAUCUGAGAUAUGCCUGUCCGGUCCCCAUUCCCACAGAACGUGAAUGGACGCUAGACAUUCACUUAGUAUUCCGAGGAAACAAGGUGGGUUUGGCACCUGAGCUGAGGCCAUGCUGGCUCCAGAGCGAUAGAACGUUCUUUCCCAGUAUUUCCCAGGAGGCUAUUCAACAGUAUCCUACUGUGUCUAGGCAAUCCCUAAGCUCACUGGACUUGAUUUCUCCAUUAAAAUUGCUCUGGGAUCUCACAAGCUCCCCAUCUGUCUGGGGUUCAACACCCUUUUUGUCCUCUCCUAUCCUCUCCAAUUCACACAAAGGACACAGGACACAGGCUGGCUUACUAUUCACAGAAGUUUACUGACCUCCCCAGUCAGGCAGGCCGACCCUUCCAACCAGGAGAAAUGUCCACCUAGCUGCCCUCUGCUGGGUUGCAGCCUGUGUCAUGAGAGGGCACUGGAAGCAGGAGGGAGCCCUAGCUAGAACAGGCCUUACACGCAAGGGAAGCUGAGCAGAGGUCUGCACUCAACCCCACUUGAUGUUCUUCUCCUCCUCAGUCAUGGCCAUGGUGACUAGACCGGUGCCGAUAGUCCGGUUGCCAUCUCGCAGGGUGAAACGCUGGCCUUUCUCCAAGAUCAUUGGCUGCCGCAAGAUUAGGUUGAACUUCAGGUCCUCCCCGGGCAUGGCAAGCUCCUUCUCUGGGGGCAGGAUAACCCGACAGGCCAUGUCCCAAGUCAGGGAGAACAUGAUAGGCAUGAAGUGGGACACAAAGGGCUUGUGGCGGCCACCUUCCUCCUUGCUGAGGAUGUAAACCUGGGCCUCCACCUUCUGGUGGGGCUUGAUGGAACCCGGCUUGACCAUGACCAGGCCCCACGCAGUCCUCCUCCCUUCAAGCCUCAACCAGGGCCCCGAGGUUAUCUCCGGCCUCGGCCCUCUCCAGGUUCUUGUGGAACAUCUCAAUGCCUGUCACCACAGUGCGGAUGUUCUUGCUGUGUCCUAGGAGCUCACACUCGUCUCCCUUCUUUAAAAUGCCACGCUCUAGCGUACCUGUCACCACAGUGCCACGGCCAGGGACGGAGAACACCCCCUCUACAGGCAGCAGGAAAGGCUUCUCCAGGUCCCGGGUGGGCACUGGGAUGUAAGUGUCCACAGCAUCCAGUAGCUUCUGCACAGAUUUCAGGCCUAAUUCAGGGUCCCGACCCUCAAGGGCACAGAGAGCAGAGCCUACAAUGACUGGGGUCUCCUCCCCUUUAUAGCC
rnacentral:lncRNA from 1 species